rnacentral:rRNA from 2 species
CCUACGGGUGGCUGCAGUGGGGAAUAUUGCACAAUGGGGGAAACCCUGAUGCAGCAACGCCGCGUGAAGGAAGAAGGUUUUCGGAUCGUAAACUUCUAUCAGUAGGGAAGAAGCAAGUGACGGUACCUAACUAAGAAGCCCCGGCUAACUACGUGCCAGCAGCCGCGGUAAUACGUAGGGGGCAAGCGUUAUCCGGAAUCACUGGGUGUAAAGGGUGCGUAGGCGGCGAUAUAAGUCAGAUGUGAAAAACCGAUGCUCAACAUCGGUCCUGCAUUUGAAACUGUAUGGCUAGAGUACAGGAGAGGAAAGUGGAAUUCCUAGUGUAGCGGUGAAAUGCGUAGAUAUUAGGAGGAACAUCAGUGGCGAAGGCGACUUUCUGGACUGUAACUGACGCUGAGGCACGAAAGCGUGGGUAGCGAACAGGAUUAGAUACCCCUGUAGUC